rnacentral:rRNA from 1 species
UGGGGAAUAUUGCACAAUGGGCGGAAGCCUGAUGCAGCGACGCCGCGUGAGGGAUGACGGCCUUCGGGUUGUAAACCUCUUUCAGUAGGGAAGAAGCCGCAAGGUGACGGUACCUGCAGAAGAAGCGCCGGCUAACUACGUGCCAGCAGCCGCGGUAAUACGUAGGGCGCAAGCGUUAUCCGGAAUUAUUGGGCGUAAAGAGCUCGUAGGCGGUUUGUCGCGUCUGCCGUGAAAGUCCGGGGCUCAACUCCGGAUCUGCGGUGGGUACGGGCAGACUAGAGUGAUGUAGGGGAGACUGGAAUUCCUGGUGUAGCGGUGAAAUGCGCAGAUAUCAGGAGGAACACCGAUGGCGAAGGCAGCCUCCUGGGCCAACACUGACGCUCAUGCACGAAAGCGUGGGGAGCAAAC